AAUAUUGGAUAAUGGGGGCAACCCUGAUCCAGCCAUGCCGCGUGUUUGAAGAAUGCCUUCGCAUUGUAAAGCACUUUAAGUUGGGAGGAAGGGCUUUAGGUUAAUACCCUGAAGUUUUGACGUUACCAACCGAAUAAGCACAGGCUAACUUUGUUCUAGCAGCCGCGGUAAUACAGAGGGUGCAAGCGUUAAUCGGAAUUACUGGGCGUAAAGCGCGCGUAGGUGGUUCAGUAAGAUGGGUGUGAAAUCCCCGGGCUUAACCUGGGAACUGCUUUCAUAACUGCUGAGCUAGAGUACGGUAGAGGGUAGUGGAAUUUCCUGUGUAGCGGUGAAAUGCGUAGAUAUAGGAAGGAACACCAGUGGCGAAGGCGACUACCUGGACUGAUACUGACACUGAGGUGCGAAAGCGUGGGGAGCAAAC
rnacentral:rRNA from 1 species